GGUAGCGUGUCCGAGCGGCCGAAGGAGCGCGCCUCGAAAGCGCGUGAGGGUUCACGCCCUCCGUGGGUUCAAAUCCCACCGCUACCGCCA
rnacentral:tRNA from 2 species